CAAUAGCGUAUAUUAAAAUUGUUGCAGUUAAAAAGCUCGUAGUUGGAUUUCUGGUGGGAGCGAUCGGUCUGGCGCUUAGCGCGAGUACUUGCAUCGUCUCCGGCCAUCCUUGGGGAAAGUCUGUCUGGCAUUAAGUUGUCGGGCAGAGGAUCCUCAUCGUUUACUGUGAAAAAAUUAGAGUGUUCAAAGCAGGCUUAUGCCGUUGAAUAUAUUAGCAUGGAAUAAUAAGAUAGGACUUUGGUACUAUUUUGUUGGUUUGCGCACCAAAGUAAUGAUUAAUAGGGACAGUUGGGGGUAUUCGUAUUCCGUUGUCAGAGGUGAAAUUCUUGGAUUUACGGAAGACGAACUACUGCGAAAGCAUUUACCAAGGAUGCUUUCAUUAA
rnacentral:rRNA from 1 species